rnacentral:rRNA from 1 species
AUGGCUAGCACUACCAAGGCCGUGGUAAUCCUUAGCAUUGUUAUUGUCCUGCAGGUGUCCCGCAUCGCAGGGGUGGUUGGCGACAUCCCGGCGGUGAUGUCGGUGAACGGCUUUGAGAAAGGGGAGGAGGGCGGGCCUGCAAAGUGUGAUGGCCAGUACCACAACGACUCCCUCUUCCUGGUGGCGCUAACCACGCAGUGGUACCAACAGGGCCUCCGGUGUGGCAGGAUGAUCAACAUCAAGAGCUCGGAUGGGGCAAUCGGGCAGGCUAUGGUCGUGGACGAGUGCGACACCGAAAACGGCUGCCGCACCGACGAGAUCAGCACAUCCGCCGCGGUGUGGCAUGCUUUUGGACUCGAUACCAGCCUUGGCGAGGUGUUCGUCACAUGGUCGGAUGUACUCUGA